rnacentral:rRNA from 1 species
UACGAAGGGGCUAGCGUUGCUCGGAAUCACUGGGCGUAAAGGGUGUCGUAGGCGGGUCUUUAAGUCAGGGGUGAAAUCCCAGAGCUCAACUCUGGAACUGCCUUUGAUACUGGGUGUCUUGAGUGUGAGAGAGGUAUGUGGAACUCCGAGUGUAGAGGUGAAAUUCGUAGAUAUUCGGAAGAGCACGGUGGCGAAGGCGGCGACCUGGUCCGAUGACUGACGCUGAGGCGCGAAAGCGUGGGGAGCAAACAGG